AGCUUUGCGCAGUGGCAGUAUCGUAGCCAAUGAGGUUUAUCCGAGGCGCGAUUAUUGCUAAUUGAAAAUAGCCAUCCUAGUGUGUGUGAAGUGGGGCUAUAUUAUGGUUUUGGUUUGCAUUUCCCUAAAGAUAUUUAUGU
rnacentral:snRNA from 1 species